rnacentral:rRNA from 1 species
GACGUAGGGCGCGAGCGUUGUCCGGAUUUAUUGGGCGUAAAGAGCUCGUAGGCGGCUUGUUGCGUCGACUGUGAAAACCCGCGGCUUAACCGCGGGCCUGCAGUUGAUACGGGCAGGCUAGAGUUCGGUAGGGGAGACUGGAAUUCCUGGUGUAGCGGUGAAAUGCGCAGAUAUCAUUUGGAACGCCAAUGGUGAAAACAGGUUGCUGGGAGUGUGCUGACGCUGAGACACGAAAGCCAGGGGAGCGAACGGG